CCUACGGGAGGCAGCAGUGAGGAAUAUUGGUCAAUGGGCGCGAGCCUGAACCAGCCAAGUAGCGUGAAGGAUGACUGCCCUACGGGUUGUAACCUUCUUUUAUAAAGGAAUAAAGUGAUGCACGUGUGCCUUUUUGUCUGUACUUUAUUAAUACGGCUCGGCUAACUCCGUGCCCGCAGCCGCGGUAAUACGGAGGAUCCGAGCGUUAUCCGGAUUUAUUGGGUUUAACGGGAGCGUAGAUGGGUUGUUAAGUCAGUUGUGAAAGUUUGCGGCUCAAACGUAAAAUUGCAAUUGAUACUGGCAGCCUUGAGUACAGUUGAGGUAGGCGGAAUUCGUGGUGUAGCGGUGAAAUGCUUAGAUAUCACGAAGAACUCCGAUUGCGAAGGCAGCUUACUAAACUGCCACUGACAUUGAUGCUCGAAAGUGUGGGUAUCAAACAGGAUUAGAUACCCCAGUAGUC
rnacentral:rRNA from 1 species